rnacentral:lncRNA from 1 species
ACAAACACACCCUUAGUACUGCUGCUGCUGGUAAACUCAAAUUUUCAUCAGCAACAUGUGCCUCAGAAUUUUUUUGGCAUUUCUAUAAACAUAAGCACCCUCUUUUUCCUCAUGUUCCUAUCUACAAGAAACCCUUUCCUCAUAUUCCUAUCUACAAACCUCCUUUUCCUCAUAUUCCUAUCUUCAAAAAACCUUUCCCUCCACAUGAGCCUAUCUAUGAAAAACCUCUUCCUCCGCCUACACCGGUCUAUGAAAAACCAGUUCCUCCGCCUACACCUGUCUAUGAAAAACCUCUUCCUCCGCCUACACCGGUCUAUGAGAAACCUCUUCCCCCGCCUACACCUGUCUAUGAGCCUCCACCAACUCCUGUAUAUCAUAAACCUCUUCCCCCACCUACGCCUGUCUAUGAGAAACCUCUUCCUCCACCUACACCUGUAUAUCAUAAACCACAUCCACCACCGGCUCCGGUCAAAGGUUGUCCACCAAAGGUUGAACACCCAAUUCUACCACCUGCUCCAGUAUACAAACCUCCUCCAGUUCCAAAGCCACAACCACCACCGGUUCCGGUCAAGAAACCAUGUCCACCAAAGGUUGAACAUCCAAUUCUGCCACCUGUUCCAAUCUAUAAACCGCCAGUGGUAGUUCCAAAGCCACCUGUGGUUCCAAUUUACAAGCCAC